GGCAGAUUAUAUUGAUUUUUUGGAUUUUUAUAAAAAUAGUUCUAAUCUAGUCUAAUUUAACUGGUUGUCUUGACUAAUCCAUGAUUUUUCAUGAGAUUUUAGGCCCAGAUAUUCAAACAAAUUCUAAUGAUGAGGCAGCAAGGAAGAGCUUGGGGUCAUCGGAGCCAAAGGGAAACUUAUAAUCCUCACCAUCUCUCCCCUCCUUCCCUGCACCAUGCGCCAUCACCACCUCCCAUGCCCGGAGACCCUGAAAAGGAUUUUUGCAUACAUGCGUCUCAUAUUGGAAAAAGAAAAACAAAAUCUCAUUUGUUCUUGGGCUAGAGUA
rnacentral:lncRNA from 1 species